rnacentral:rRNA from 1 species
UACGUAGGGGGCAAGCGUUGUCCGGAUUCAUUGGGCGUAAAGAGCGUGUAGGCGGCCAGGUAGGUCGGUUGUGAAAACUGGAGGCUCAACCUUCAGACGUCGACCGAAACCAUCUGGCUAGAGUCCGGGAGAGGAGAGUGGAAUUCCUGGUGUAGCGGUGAAAUGCGCAGAUAUCGGGAGGAACACCGGUGGCGAAGGCGGUUCUCUGGGCCUGACCUGACGCUGAGGAGCGAAAGCGUGGGGAGCGAACAGG